GCAUCGCCUGAGCCCCGCUACCGAGAAGGGCGCCGCUUCCUCCGGGGAGGGGGAUAAAGAUCCCCCGCCGCCGGCCCAUGAGGAUAUUGCCGUGAAAGGCACAGCGACUGCAGCAGGAACCGGACCCGGCACCGGAGCGGCGGCGGCGGCGGCGGCGGCAGCAGCGGUACCGCCUCCUCACCCGGCGGCGGCAGCAGCGGCGGCAGCGGCGGCGGCGGCGGCGGCGGCAGCGGCCCCCCCUCCUCACCCGAACAUCAGGGCCCUCCAGACCCAGGCGCCCCAACAGUAUCCUUUUCACCUUCCUGUCGGCCCUUCGGUUCUUGUCGUCGCAGUCCAGGGGGACCCCGCAGCCCAGGGGACCCUCCUGCCGGCCGCCACAGCCCAGCCAGGAAAGGGACAGCGGCUCAAGCCCCUGCAUCGGGCUUGGGCGGAGCUUUUGGGGUGCCCCGGCAGCAGCACUGCGGGGGGACCCCCAGACACUCUGCAAUACUGUGAAAGCUAGCUCCACUUGGCCAUGCUUCUGCAGCCCCUUCCUUUUAGAGCUUGGGGUCCCUUCUCCCCUCCUCCCCUAAGGUACCCUCCCCCCCUUUAUUGGGCAGAAUUUGCUUGGUGCCUGAGACCAACCCUGCAGGGAAGGCUUUUCUCUGGUUGUUGUGAGGAUUACACCCUCCUGCUCUUCUCCUCCUCUCGGCUCCCCCUACAGCGGGACACAGUGGGCUUCCCUAAUUAUUAUUAGUACAUAAUAAACUUUAUCUGUAAAUUUCUUGUUUGAAACUAAUCAGCUCGUUUCCGAGGUAAGUUGGAUUUUCAGUCUAAGGUGAAAAUGUACAGAAAGCAGAUCCUCUGGAUAAUUUUUUUUAGUAAUGGGAGAGUUGUGAUGUGGUUUGUGGUAGAGAUCUGAGGAGGAAAUGUGACGCCGGACGCUUCCCUGUCUUUGACCUUUUUAAAGGAAGAGGAAGUUCCCUGACAUUACCCAUCACCCACAAAAGUCUCACUUCUUGGAAGAUUUGUGUUAGGCUGAAUAUUUUUAAUGGGCUUUAAUUUACUCCUCAUAGGCCUGAUGUCUAGAGAGUUACCAGGGCUUCUGGAGGAAAGUCUAGUAUUGAAUGUUUCUAAUUUCAUGUUAUUUGCUCGAUUGUAGAAUUUUGGACAGCUUUGAUUGAAAAGACUUGGUGAUGGGGUAUUUUAGUCAAAAACUAGCCGGUGAAGGUAAAACGUUGAAUUCAUGAAUUCCACGGAGAUUUAGAAAGGUAUUGCGUACCUGAGAAUAACAUUUCAUCAUGCAUCACCUCCUCCCUACACCCACUGUAUUUGUGUAAAUCAAUAAAUAAUGAUUGGAUGUUAGA
rnacentral:sRNA from 1 species